GAUGAACGCUAGCUACAGGCUUAACACAUGCAAGUCGCGGGGCAGCAUGGGGGUUGCUUGCCAUCCCCGAUGGCGACCGGCGCACGGGUGAGUAACGCGUAUCCAACCUGCCCUUCACCACGGGAUAACCCGGCGAAAGUCGGACUAAUACCGUAUGUUGUCCAUUGACGGCAUCCGAUUUGGACGAAAGGCUUGGCGGUGAGGGAUGGGGAUGCGUCCGAUUAGCCAGACGGCGGGGUAACGGCCCACCGUGGCUACGAUCGGUAGGGGUUCUGAGAGGAAGGUCCCCCACACUGGAACUGAGACACGGUCCAGACUCCUACGGGAGGCAGCAGUGAGGAAUAUUGGUCAAUGGGCGUAAGCCUGAACCAGCCAAGUAGCGUGCAGGAUGACGGCCCUAUGGGUUGUAAACUGCUUUUAUGCGGGGAUAAAGUGGCCAACGUGUGGGCUUUUGCAGGUACCGCAUGAAUAAGGACCGGCUAAUUCCGUG
rnacentral:rRNA from 1 species